CCUUAUAUAUAAUCACUCCCUAUGCCGUACGUUUAAGUUACUACCUAGGCUAGUUAGUCAGGCACACAUAUUGCUUCAUAAUCUUACAAGUUACAGAGGUGUUCAAAAUAAUUCUUCCCUUGGCCCAGCAAAUUCGUACUCCAAGGAAAGGAAAAUGCUUUCGGGAUAAGGAAGUUAUCCUAACUUGAAAAUGUUGAUAUAAAGAAUAUUCUACAACCACUCAAUGCUUCCAAGCAUAAUGGAAGUUCACUGUAAACUAGCCUGUGAGUUCCAAAGAUGGACAGGUUAUAAAACCUUUGAUAGAGUAAGCCUAGAGCUGCUGGAUUUCCUUCUCCACAUCCCAUCUGCAGCGACGUUCAGAAAGAGAAGGGAAGAAGAUGAGAAACCAGGAGGGAAAGGUGAAGUGAAGACUGAAGAAGGGAGAUUUAUUUACCAAGGCAUGUUGUUAAUUUACAUAUGCUACGAACUGAGAAUAUGGUGAAAUUAACACCUUGUUUAUGGCAGCUUGUGCAACAUUAUCAUGGGAUCACCAAGGAAUUGCACCAUUUUCAUGAUAGACUAAUAGUUUGGUGCCUUCCCAUCUUUCAGAAACAGAGUAGAGAAUUAGAGGGGAAAAAAGGAUGGUCAACGUUCCUUGAACCAGCUUCCUCAACUUUUGUACGUUAAACUUGGACUCAACUGUAUACUAGGCCAUGUGUUUUAACUUGGUAUGAAAAUGUAAUAGUAAAACAUUUAUGUUCGAAGGCAAAAGGAAAGAUAGCUUUCGCCAUAACCCCAUUAUUUACCUGGGCAAUAUUUUCUGAAAAGGACUCUAUCGUAUUUUGCCAAAUUACCAUCUUCACAGGCUUCAUGAUUAUCUUCUACCAUCUCCAUGAUGAUUCUGGUUUCCUGUCAUUGCAAAUUGGCUUGCAAAAUCAAGCAGGCUAGCAUUAGAAGCAAUGCCCUUUCAUAUUCAAGCAUAACUUUGAGUCUCUAUUAUCAUACUUGUGUUGAGAAAACUAUAAGAAGAUCUGUACUAUUUCUACUCUA